rnacentral:misc_RNA from 1 species
AGUUGGAGCGGGCUUGCUCGCGAAUGCGGUAUUUCAGCCAGCUCAUCUAGCACUGACACACCGCUUUCGCGAGCAAGCCCGCUCCCACA